GGCUCACGUCGGAGGGGUACAAGAUGUGGAGCUUGGAUGAGGGGGAGGAGGAGAAAGAUAAUGUGUUUGACAUUGGAGAGAUUGCACAGGAUGCUAGCGAAACUAGCACCGAGACUAGUGUGAAUCUGGAGAUUGACCAGAUUGAGGAUCCGAAAGAGCUCGAGAGAGAGGAAGAGGAGCUCACUGCCAUACUUAAGGGUCCAAAUCGCGCAUUCGGUGACCUAAUUGCAGCAUCUGGAAUCACUGAUGCAAUGUUGGACAGUUUGAUUGCAUUAAAGGAUUUUGAAGGGGUUGAGGGAUUGCCUCCUCUAAGUGAAAUAGAGGACAUGCGUUAUGAAAAGACCACAAGAAAAUCCAUGAGAUCUGAAAUAGAGCGUCGAAAACAGGAAGAAGUUGCCAAAGCUAGAGUGAGACUAGUAGAUGACAAAGGAAGAGCUUAUGGAACAGGACGAAGGAAAUGUAGUGUGGCCCGUGUUUGGAUUCAACCUGGUGAUGGAAAAUUCUUAGUUAAUGAUAAACAAUUUGAUGUAUAUUUCCCAAUGCUUGAUCAUCGUUCUACCCUGUUGCGACCCUUUACUGAAACAAAGACCUUGGGUCUUUGGGAUGUCAAUUGUACUGUGAAAGGAGGUGGUGUUUCUGGUCAAAUUGGAGCUAUACAGCUGGGGAUCAGCCGUGCCUUGCAAAGUUGGGAACCUGAUUUACGUCCACCUCUAAGAAGUGCUGGUUUCUUGACAAGGGACCCACGUGUGGUUGAAAGGAAGAAACCAGGAAAAGCAAAAGCAAGAAAGAGCUUUCAAUGGGUCAAACGUUGAUCAAUGGUUACAAGCUUGCAGUUCGUACAACUACUUUUUGUUUGGAAACCUGGUAUUCACAUCAUUAGCCGGUAGCUUGGAGGCUUGUUAGCUGGCCUGAAAUUUCUUUUAUAAUGCAACUUGUAGUUCGUAGUUACACC
rnacentral:misc_RNA from 1 species